CCUACGGGUGGCUUGCAAAGUUUUGCAUGUUCAAUUAUAACCGAGAAAUCCUUACGGCCUCCUUCAGGUCUGCCGGGGAUAUGCCUGAAACCGGUGAAUCCGGCUGCUCCUGUUGUAUAAACCUUGUCGAAGUAGGAAGCAUCCUUUUUCGGGGGAACUAUGCAGUUGGUUGUGAACAGGAUGGGUCCGUUGAAAGUUUCGAAUUCUUCUUUCUGCAUCCACCAUGAGCUUCCGUAGUUGCCCACGAAAUGCUUGUAUUUUUUGAAUGCAGGAUAGUAAUUUGCAGGCAGCAUUUCGCUGUGGGUGUAAACAUCGACACCUGUGCCUUCGGUCUGCACAAGCAGAUCUUCCAUAUCCCUUAGGUCGUGACCUCUGAUCAGGAUACCCCUGUAGUC
rnacentral:rRNA from 1 species